rnacentral:snoRNA from 1 species
UCCUCCGAUGAUGAACAAAAAUGAACUUUCGUUCUUCUGAGCUUUUUCCAAUGCGGAAAAUUACUGGAGACCUGAACUGAGGAGGC